CAGAGGUGGCAAGCGUUGUUCGGAAUUACUGGGCGUAAAGGGCGCGUAGGCGGCCUUCUAAGUCAGACGUGAAAUCCCCGGGCUUAACUUGGGAACUGCGUCUGAUACUGGAGGGCUCGAGUGCGGGAGAGGGAUGUGGAAUUCCAGGUGUGGCGGUGAAAUGCGUAGAUAUCUGGAGGAACACCGGUGGCGAAGGCGGCAUCCUGGACCGACACUGACGCUGAGGCGCGAAAGCUAGGGGAGCAAACGGGAUUAGAUACCCCGGUAGUCCUAGCCCUAAACGAUGAGUGCUUGGUGUGGCGGGUAUCGAUCCCUGCCGUGCCGAAGCUAACGCGUUAAGCACUCCGCCUGGGGAGUACGGUCGCAAGGCUG
rnacentral:rRNA from 1 species